UACGUAGGGUGCGAGCGUUGUCCGGAAUUAUUGGGCGUAAAGAGCUCGUAGGCGGUGUGUCGCGUCGGCCGUGAAAACCUGCAGCUUAACUGUGGGCUUGCGGUCGAUACGGGCAGACUAGAGUUCGGCAGGGGAGACUGGAAUUCCUGGUGUAGCGGUGAAAUGCGCAGAUAUCAGGAGGAACACCGGUGGCGAAGGCGGGUCUCUGGGCCGAUACUGACGCUGAGGAGCGAAAGCGUGGGGAGCGAACAGG
rnacentral:rRNA from 1 species